rnacentral:misc_RNA from 1 species
AAACCUUCUAAUCAUCUAAGAUACUAGUUCAAAUAGAAAGGAACUGAAAAAGAAACCACAGUGAUAGCCGCAGUUCACGAAGAUGUGUACAUGAUGCCACUGGGAAAGUUUCAAUACAAACCCUAUCUUAUGAAAGUUAAUUGUCCAACCUUGUCAUUCAGGUACUGAAGCCAAUAUGCACUCCUAAAAACGUGGAAUAUGAUCUCAUCUAAAUAUCUUUUACUAAAAAGUGCAGCAAAUUCUAUUCUAUAUGUUAAUAUAUGUAGUCAAAAUUUACAAUUUUGAAUUUGACUUGUAGCAAGAAGAUAACUUCCUGCUCAUACUUGAGAACAAACAGUGGAUUCUAACCUCGGGCAACAGGAUGAUAGCAAACCUUCUACAACGAAUGCAUUCUAUAAAAUAGAGGCAUCUUGCAUGAAUAAUAAACAUGAAUGCCCCAUCUCAAGUCAUCCACUCGAUAACUAGAAAAAAUUAGAUGAUCACUUUUCAUUAACUUAUAAAUUAUUUAAGAAAUUCAAGAACAGAACGAGAAGUUCUAUUGGUUUGAUCCAUCUAUUAAAAGGGCCAAAAUGACAAACAGAUCCUCAAAUAAUUGAAUCCAUUCAUCCAACUCUGAAUCAGGGUCACCCCAGGCUCUGUGUUCUUAUGUACACUACAUGCACCACAUAAUUAAGUGCAAUAUAAAAUGCCUAAUAUUAUUAAAAAACAAGAAAAGCAUGGAACUAACCUGUGACUUCACCUGAUGAAUCAGUUCUGCCUUCUGCAUUUCCAGAUGCCUAGCUAAACUAUUUAGUUUCACUAUUUUUUCCUUUAGAUCUAUUAUUUUACUGUCCUUUUCUCUGCAUUCAACUUCUUUAUCCCGCAAUUGGCACCUUGAGAAAUAGGAAAAAAGAAAAAAAUUCAGGCCAAUUCAACAUAGGCAACUUCUAAAAAAGCACGAACCAAGCUGACUUAGC